AUACGGAGGGUGCAAGCGUUACUCGGAAUCACUGGGCGUAAAGCGCGCGCAGGCGGCUAUUUAAGUUGGAUGUGAAAGCCUACGGCUCAACCGUAGAACUGCAUCCAAAACUAUUUAGCUAGAGUGUGGGAGAGGAAGAUGGAAUUAGUUGUGUAGGGGUAAAAUCCGUAGAGAUAACUAGGAAUACCUAAAGCGAAGGCAAUCUUCUGGAACACUGCUGACGCUGAGGCGCGAAAGCGUGGGGAGCAAACAGGAUUAGAAACCCUAGUAGUCC
rnacentral:rRNA from 1 species